rnacentral:rRNA from 1 species
UACGUAGGGUGCAAGCGUUGUCCGGAAUUAUUGGGCGUAAAGAGCUCGUAGGCGGUUUGUUGCGUCGACUGUGAAACCCCGGGGCUCAACCCCGGGCCUGCAGUCGAUACGGGCAGACUAGAGUUCGGCAGGGGAGACUGGAAUUCCUGGUGUAGCGGUGAAAUGCGCAGAUAUCAGGAGGAACACCGGUGGCGAAGGCGGGUCUCUGGGCCGAAACUGACGCUGAGGAGCGAAAGCGUGGGGAGCGAACAGG